CGACCGCGCUGGCGGCGGCCCGCGCCGCCGCCGUGCGGGCGGCGGCGAACGCCGGGUCGUCGGCGAGUUCGGGAUGCUGCGCGGCCAGC
rnacentral:tRNA from 1 species